UACAGAGGUGGCAAGCGUUGUUCGGAAUUACUGGGCGUAAAGCGCGCGUAGGCGGCUUUGCAAGUCGGGUGUGAAAUCCCCAGGCUCAACCUGGGAACUGCAUUCGAGACUGCAUUGCUAGAGUAUGGGAGAGGGAAGUGGAAUUUCCGGUGUAGCAGUGAAAUGCGUAGAUAUCGUAAGGAAGACCAGUGGCGAAGGCGAAUCUCUGGGACGGUACUGACGCUGAGACGCGAAAGCGUGGGGAGCGAACAGG
rnacentral:rRNA from 1 species